UUGCAAAUACAGCCACGUAAUAGAACGCGAUUUUUAUAGCUUUUAGAAAAUAUCUUGGGUUUUGUUUUGUCUUCUGUACUUAACCCGCUAUGGCCACGCAAAAUACCGAAAACGAGGAAACAACUGCAAGGCAUAAGUCGAAGCGACCUUCAGACUCAGCAUUUAAGCAGCAACGACUACCCGCCUGGCAACCCGUUUUAACUGCACGGACUGUGUUGCCCACCUUCUUCAUCAUCGGCAUUCUGUUUAUACCCAUUGGUGUGGUGCUGCUGCACUUCUCCAAUUCAGCAAAUGAACUGAUUAUCGACUACACGAAAUGCCAGGAUAACAGCACCGGGAAGACCUGUGCCAGCAUACUAGAAGCUGAUAUAGACAGCACAUGCAAAUGCAAGAUAAAUUUUACGCUAGAACAUGACUUUAAUGGAGACGUUUACAUGUACUAUGGACUCACCAACUAUUACCAAAAUCAUCGACGUUAUGUGAAGUCGCGCGAUGACGAUCAAUUGUUGGGUCGGCUGUCACUAACUCCCAGCACGGACUGCGCCCCCUUCGCCAUGGAUAAUGACAAGCCUAUUGCACCUUGUGGAGCCAUAGCGAACUCCCUGUUCAAUGACACCCUAAAGUUAACUCAGAAUGGAGCGGAAAUCAGUAUGUUCAAUACGGGCAUUGCCUGGCCGUCGGAUAAGCGCGUUAAAUUCCGAAACCCCGAGAAACUUCAGGAAGCACUUACCGGUUUUGCCAAGCCAAAAUUCUGGAAAAAGGAACUUUAUCAGUUGGAUUUAACGAAUGAGAAUAAUAAUGGUUUCCAGAAUGAGGAUUUCAUUGUCUGGAUGCGCACUGCUGCCCUCCCCAGUUUUCGUAAGCUGUACAGACGCCUGAAUCGAACAGAUACCAAAUAUACUAGCGGACUUAAGGCAGGGAAUUACGAACUAAUCGUGGACUAUAACUACCCAGUGAUGUCGUUUGACGGUACUAAGCGCAUGAUCAUAUCUACCACCUCAGUAUUGGGAGGCAAGAAUCCAUUCCUCGGCAUCGCUUACAUUGUGGUCGGCGCCAUCUGCGUGACGCUCGGCCUGGUGUUGCUCUUUAUUCACAUGCGUUGCAGCCGCAGCAUUGUCGUGAAUUGAAACGGUUCAAAUGAGCUAAAGCCAUCAAGCCUAUUCCAUAUCUCAUUCAAAAAAUUCCGAUUAGCAAAUCAUGCAGCAACAUGGAGAUGAUAAAUGUCAAUCCACAUACGCAGUACUCCUAAACUAAAAUGAUGCAUAGUAUUUGGAUUAACCAAACCCUGCGCCUCGGCGUAGAUUAAGGCUUUGGUUAUGCGUAAAAUAUGUUUUUGAGUUCCUCCCCACUUUGACGCGAAAGCCUAGCUAUUUCAGAAUUGAAACGGCACUGUGAGGCACUUUGGCUGAUGUGCCUUUGUUAUCAUGUACUUUUUGUUUUGCGUGCACUGUAUUGUGAUGUUUGUUACUGUUGCUUUAUAAAAUCAACUACAAUUAUUAUAUAUGUAUAUGCGAUUAAUAUGCAUACGUUCCCCAUCAGGUCAAAUACCAAUAGAUGUAUCCACAUUCACAUAUUUUAUAUUUAUAAUUAGGUUAAUAGUCAGCAAACAAUUUUGUAUGGCAACUAUUUAUUUACGCUUCUAUCAGGCCUGUUUCCUAACUUCUUCAGUGUAGCAAACAGACCCGAAAAUUCACAAUUCGAAGAAGAUAAGUUUGUAAUGUAACCUUAAAAUCGAUACAGGAAUCAUUGUUUAAAUUAUAAUAUGGUAUUACGAA